rnacentral:misc_RNA from 1 species
GAUGAAGAACGCAGUGAAAUGCGAUACUUGGUGUGAAUUGCAGAAUCCCGUGAACCAUCGAGUCUUUGAACGCAAGUUGCGCCCGAAGCCAUCAGGUUGAGGGCACGUCUGCCUGGGCGUCACAUAUCGUUGCCCAAUGCCUAUUGCAGUGCAAUAGGAAUUUCUAGGGCGAAUGAUGGCUUCCCGUGAGCGUUGUUGCCUCGCGGUUGGUUGAAAAUCGAGUCCUUGGUAGGGUGUGCCAUGGUAGAUGGUGGUCGAGUUAGAACGAUACCGAUCAUGUGCAUGCUCCCCAAAAUAUGGCCUCUAUGACCCACACGCGUCUUUUGACGCUCAUGACGAGACCUCAUGUCAGGCGGGGCUACCCGCUGAAUUUAAGCAUAUCAAUAAGCGGAGGA